CUCCGAACGGAUAAACGUGAAACGUGUCUUAAAUAUUAACGGAAAAAGUAUUUUCUAUGGUCAGUGUUUGCGGUUGGGUUUUGGAGUUGAAAAAGUAACGUUCUUUCGGCUGUUCCCAGUGGGUAUACCUACUCUGCGACACUUUCGUUUGCCGGCGUUGUGGAAGUUCUGUCGUCUCAUGAAGUCCACAAUUAAAUUUUCUGUGGCCGUCGAAAAAUCUCUGCGGUUAAGUUAUUCAUUUUGAUGCUGAUUGAAGGAUAGUUUGCUUUCUAAUGUUACCACUUCAUUUUUCUACGUUGGAUUCACCAAUUUGAGAAGACUGUUAAUCUGUGAUACGAUACAAGCCAAAUAUUUUGACCGUUGGAAACGACCAGUAUUGUGUCUGUUGAUUUCCAUGCCUGCCGAAAAAUGAUAAGAAUGCCAAAUUGGAUGCAAGAUCACUUUGUUGAUGUUACAAACUCAUUUAGCAAAUUAUAAAACUAAUAACUUAUUAUUUAUAUUUUUAACUGCCAAUUUUAAAAUAAUUGUAUGAUUGUUGAUGUAAAAUAUUUCA